AUCCCCCAUUUAGGCGAAAAUCAUGAAUUUUCUCCUCAGAAAUCACCCAUUUAAGCGAAUAUCAUGCAUUUUCUCUUUGGAAAUCCCCCACUUAGGCGAAAAUCAUGAAUUUUCUCCUCGGUAAUCCCCCAUUUAAGCGAAAAUCACAUGUUUUCUUUUCGGAAAUCCCCCGUUUAAUCGAAUAUCAACUGUUUUAUCUCCGAGAAUCCCACAUUUAAGCAAAAAUCACGUGUUUUCUUUUCGGAAAUCUCCCUUUUAAUCGAAUAUCACGCGAUUUAUCUCCGAGAAUCCAACAUUUAAGCAAAUAUCAUGCGUUUUCUCUUCGGAAAUCCCCCAUUUAAGCUAAAAUCAUGAAUUUUCU
ensembl:lncRNA